rnacentral:rRNA from 1 species
CUACGGGAGGCACCAGUGGGGAAUAUUGCACAAUGGGCGCAAGCCUGAUGCAGCCAUGCCGCGUGUAUGAAGAAGGCCUUCGGGUUGUAAAGUACUUUCAGCGGGGAGGAAGGGAGUAAAGUUAAUACCUUUGCUCAUUGACGUUACCCGCAGAAGAAGCACCGGCAAACUCCGUGCCAGCAGCCGCGGUAAUACGGAGGGUGCAAGCGUUAAUCGGAAUUACUGGGCGUAAAGCGCACGCAGGCGGUUUGUUAAGUCAGAUGUGAAAUCCCCGGGCUCAACCUGGGAACUGCAUCUGAUACUGGCAAGCUUGAGUCUCGUAGAGGGGGGUAGAAUUCCAGGUGUAGCGGUGAAAUGCGUAGAGAUCUGGAGGAAUACCGGUGGCGAAGGCGGCCCCCUGGACGAAGACUGACGCUCAGGUGCGAAAGCGUGGGGAGCAAACAGGAUUAGAUACCCCUGUAGUC